rnacentral:rRNA from 1 species
CACUCUACGGGAGGCAGCAGUGGGGAAUUUUGGACAAUGGGCGCAAGCCUGAUCCAGCCAUGCCGCGUGCGGGAAGAAGGCCUUCGGGUUGUAAACCGCUUUUGUCAGGGAAGAAAAGGUUCUGGCUAAUACCUGGGACUCAUGACGGUACCUGAAGAAUAAGCACCGGCUAACUACGUGCCAGCAGCCGCGGUAAUACGUAGGGUGCAAGCGUUAAUCGGAAUUACUGGGCGUAAAGCGUGCGCAGGCGGUUAUGCAAGACAGAGGUGAAAUCCCCGGGCUCAACCUGGGAACUGCCUUUGUGACUGCAUGGCUAGAGUACGGUAGAGGGGGAUGGAAUUCCGCGUGUAGCAGUGAAAUGCGUAGAUAUGCGGAGGAACACCGAUGGCGAAGGCAAUCCCCUGGACCUGUACUGACGCUCAUGCACGAAAGCGUGGGGAGCAAACAGGAUUAGAAACCCUUGUAUCCCA